rnacentral:lncRNA from 1 species
AGUAGCCAGGCGCGCUGUGUCCACUAUCCUAGUAGCCGCGGCGCUGACGUGUCACCACCCGCGGCAUUCUACUAGUGCAGUAGCCAGGCGCGCUGUGUCUACUAAGCUAGUAGCCGCGGUGCUGACGUGUCACCACCCGCGGCAUUCUACUAGUGCAGUAGCCAGGCGCGCUGUGUCCACUAUCCUAGUAGCCGCGGCGCUGACGUGUCACCACCCGCGGCAUUCUACUAGUGCAGUAGCCAGGCGCGCUGUGUCCACUAUCCUAGUAGCCGCGGCGCUGACGUGUCACCACCCGCGGCAUUCUACUAGUGCAGUAGCCAGGCGCGCUGUGUCCACUAUCCUAGUAGCCGCGGCGCUGACGUGUCACCAGCCGAGGCAUUCUACUAGUGCAGUAGCCAGGCGCGCUGUGUCCACUAUCCUAGUAGCCGUGGCGCUGACGUGUCACCACCCGCGGCAUUCUACUAGUGCAGUAGCCAGGCGCGCUGUGUCCACUAUCCUAGUAGCCGCGACGCUGACGUGUCACCACCCGCGGCAUUCUACUAGUGCAGUAGCCAGGCGCGCUGUGUCCACUAUCCUAGUAGCCGCGGCGCUGACGUGUCACCACCCGCGGCAUUCUACUAGUGCAGUAGCCAGGCGCGCUGUGUCCACUAUCCUAGUAGCCGCGGCGCUGACGUGUCACCACCCGCGGCAUUCUACUAGUGCAGUAGCCAGGCGCCCUGGGUCCACUAACCUAGUAGCCGCGGCGCUGACGUGUCACCACCCGCGGCAUUCUACUAGUGCAGUAGCCAGGCGCCCUGUGUCCACUAAGCUAGUAGCCGCGGCGCUGACGUGUCACCACCCGCGGCAUUCUACUAGUGCCGUAGCCAGGCGCCCUGUGUCCACUAUCCUAGUAGCCGUGGCGCUGACGUGUCGCCACCCGCGGCAUUCUACUAGUGCAGUAGCCAGGCGCGCUGUGUCCACUAUCCUAGUAGCCGCGGCGCUGACGUGUCACCACCCGCGGCAUUCUACUAGUGCAGUAGCCAGGCGCGCUGUGUCCACUAUCCUAGUAGCCGCGGCGCUGACGUGUCACCACCCGCGGCAUUCUACUAGUGCAGUAGCCAGGCGCCCUGUGUCCACUAUCCUAGUAGCCGCGGCGCUGACGUGUCACCAGCCGCGGCAUCCUACUAGUGCAGUAGCCAGGCGCGCUGUGUCCACUAUCCUAGUAGCCGCGGCGCUGACGUGUCACCACCCGCGGCAUUCUACUAGUGCCGUAGCCAGGCGCCCUGUGUCCACUAUCCUAGUAGCCGCGGCGCUGACGUGUCACCACCCGCGGCAUUCUACUAGUGCAGUAGCCAGGCGCGCUGUGUCCACUAUCCUAGUAGCCGCGGCGCUGACGUGUCACCACCCGCGGCAUUCUACUAGUGCAGUAGCCAGGCGCGCUGUGUCCACUAUCCUAGUAGCCGCCGUUCUGGCCUGAUGUCCGCAAGCAGGCGCUGGAUCGAACCGAGGGUGGGGCCCACCUACAAUGGUGAUACGCCGCCCAUCCCCUUUGUGUUGCCUAAUAGAUGCCGGUCGUCGUAGUCUUUUUCAGCGCCGCGGGAUGUGAGGAGUAUAUUAUGUGUUGUGCAGUUACGUGCAGAUGAAGGAAGAUCCAGGCUAUACAGAUAUUAAAGUGAUACUUUCGCCUCCAGGCCGUCAUCACGCUCCCCAGUCGUUUCUGGGAAUGGGGAAUGGACACGCCGCGAUAUACGCACAUGCAGCAGCAGGUUAGAGAGAGCGCGUGUGUGGACGUACAUGACGGUGCACACAUCGCCUCGAGACUGUACUGCUGGCAUACUAUACAUGCGCAGCCACAGACACACACAUCUGCCGACACACACACACAAACACACACACACACAAACACACAGAGACACACACACACACACAGAGACACACACACACACACAGAGACACACACAUCUGCCGGUAGAAGUUAUACAGCGAAGGAGAUAAGGUGACGCCGAUCCCAACCCCUAUAUCCCCUCGUCCGCCCCUCCGCUUAAUCAGAUUAAUUUAUCUCACAUGAACUCAACUCAGGUAACCGCUAAGUAUCCUUCUCGCGUGACACAUUCACGCGUCUAGAUCACAGCCAACACGCUCCUAAAUGUUCGUACAUGUUCGACUGUACGGCACAUACCUGUCGAGCCUGCCGUACAAAGUCCAGUCCUGCCCCCCUGAUGGGGUCUCCGCAUACGCCACUUGUCGGCCGCUCGGCUCCCAGAGCGAGUCCUCGGCCCCCGGGCAGCUCCACGCGCCGACUCAGACCGUUGAUGCCUGACUCCUCAUACACGUGUGUAUGUGUGCAUGUGUAUGUGUUUGUUUACGUCAGCAUAUUGAGCGCAGCGGCGGGGUGACCGGGGGGAAACGUGUGUAUGUGUGUAUGUGUGUGUGCAUACGUGUGUAUAUAUGUAUGUAAGAAGACUUUUAGCUAGGGCUGCUAGGGAUGUGAGAAAUUUCAGUUGAUAGUUGCUCAACUGCUGUCGUACCUCGCUGACCGCCGAACUCCGGACUCCCGUCCCGAGACCUCCGGGGGACCCACAAAGUACCACAAAUACACACACACCGCGGAAGGCCCCCGAUUACAUGGCUUCCAAACCUCCUCUCCCN